AACGCGAAGAACCUUACUGGUCUUGACAUGUACGGAAUCCUCCAGAGACGGAGGAGUGCUUCGGGAGCCGUAACACAGGUGCUGCAUGGCUGUCGUCAGCUCGUGUCGUGAGAUGUUGGGUUAAGUCCCGCAACGAGCGCAACCCUUGUCAUUAGUUGCCAUCAUUUAGUUGGGCACUCUAAUGAGACUGCCGGUGACAAGCCGGAGGAAGGUGGGGAUGACGUCAAGUCCUCAUGGCCCUUAUGACCAGGGCUUCACACGUCAUACAAUGGUCGGUACAGAGGGUAGCCAAGCCGCGAGGUGGAGCCAAUCUCACAAAACCGAUCGUAGUCCGGAUGCACUCUGCAACUCGAGUGCAUGAAGUCGGAAUCGCUAGUAAUCGCAGUCAGC
rnacentral:rRNA from 1 species